rnacentral:rRNA from 1 species
UACGUAGGGGGCGAGCGUUGUCCGGAUUUAUUGGGCGUAAAGAGCUCGUAGGCGGCUCGGUAAGUCGGAUGUGAAACCUCCAGGCUCAACCUGGAGACGCCAUCUGAUACUGCCGUGGCUUGAGUCCGGUAGAGGAGCAGGGAAUUCCUGGUGUAGCGGUGAAAUGCGCAGAUAUCAGGAGGAACACCAGCGGCGAAGGCGCUGCUCUGGGCCGGUACUGACGCUGAGGAGCGAAAGCGCGGGGAGCGAACAGG